CCUACGGGAGGCUGCAGUGGGGAAUAUUGGAUAAUGGGCGAAAGCCUGAUCCAGCCAUGCCGCGUGUGUGAAGAAGGCCUUCGGGUUGUAAAGCACUUUCAGUGGGGAAGAAAGCCUUGGGGCUAAUACCCUCGAGGAAGGACAUCACCCACAGAAGAAGCACCGGCUAACUCCGUGCCAGCAGCCGCGGUAAUACGGAGGGUGCGAGCGUUAAUCGGAAUUACUGGGCGUAAAGCGCGCGUAGGCGGUCUGAUAAGCCGGUUGUGAAAGCCCCGGGCUCAACCUGGGAACGGCAUCCGGAACUGUCAGGCUAGAGUGCAGGAGAGGAAGGUAGAAUUCCCGGUGUAGCGGUGAAAUGCGUAGAGAUCGGGAGGAAUACCAGUGGCGAAGGCGGCCUUCUGGACUGACACUGACGCUGAGGUGCGAAAGCGUGGGUAGCAAACAGGAUUAGAUACCCUGGUAGUC
rnacentral:rRNA from 1 species